rnacentral:rRNA from 1 species
UUGAACGCUGGCGGUAUGCUUAACACAUGCAAGUCGAACGGAAACGAUACUAGCUUGCUAGUAGGCGUCGAGUGGCGGACGGGUGAGUAACGCGUAGGAAUCUGCCUGAUAGUGGGGGAUAGCCCGAAGAAAUUCGGAUUAAUACCGCAUAAUCUAUUCGUAGUAAAGUGGGGGACUUUCGAGCCUCACGCUAUCAGAUGAGCCUGCGUAAGAUUAGCUUGUUGGUAGGGUAAAAGCCUACCAAGGCGACGAUCUUUAGCUGGUCUGAGAGGAUGAUCAGCCACAUCGGGACUGAGACACGGCCCGAACUCCUACGGGAGGCAGCAGUGGGGAAUAUUGGACAAUGGGGGCAACCCUGAUCCAGCAAUACCGCGUGUGUGAAGAAGGCCUGAGGGUUGUAAAGCACUUUCAAUUGUGAAGAAAAGUUAGCGGUUAAUAACCGUUAGCCUUGACGUUAACUUUAGAAGAAGCACCGGCUAACUCCGUGCCAGCAGCCGCGGUAAUACGGAGGGUGCAAGCGUUAAUCGGAAUUACUGGGCGUAAAGCGUGCGUAGGCGGUUUAUUAAGUCAGAUGUGAAAGCCCCGGGCUUAACCUGGGAACUGCAUUUGAAACUGGUCAACUAGAGUAUGGUAGAGGAAAGUGGAAUUUCUGGUGUAGCGGUGAAAUGCGUAGAUAUCAGAAGGAACAUCAAUGGCGAAGGCAGCUUUCUGGACCAAUACUGACGCUGAGGUACGAAAGCGUGGGUAGCAAACAGGAUUAGAUACCCUGGUAGUCCACGCCGUAAACGAUGAUAACUAGCCGUUGGGGGGAUUUACCCUUUAGUGGCGAAGCUAACGCGUUAAGUUAUCCGCCUGGGGAGUACGGCCGCAAGGUUAAAACUCAAAGGAAUUGACGGGGACCCGCACAAGCGGUGGAGCAUGUGGUUUAAUUCGAUGCAACGCGAAGAACCUUACCUGGUCUUGACAUCCUGCGAACUUUCUAGAAAUAGAUUGGUGCCUUCGGGAACGCAGUGACAGGUGCUGCAUGGCUGUCGUCAGCUCGUGUCGUGAGAUGUUGGGUUAAGUCCCGUAACGAGCGCAACCCCUAUCCUUAUUUGCCAGCACAUCAUGGUGGGAACUAUAAGGAGACUGCCGGUGAUAAACCGGAGGAAGGCGGGGACGACGUCAAGUCAUCAUGGCCCUUACGACCAGGGCUACACACGUGCUACAAUGGGAAGGACAAAGAGCCGCGAAGCCGCGAGGUGUAGCUAAUCUCAUAAACCUUUUCGUAGUCCGGAUUGGAGUCUGCAACUCGACUCCAUGAAGUCGGAAUCGCUAGUAAUCGUAGAUCAGAAUGCUACGGUGAAUACGUUCCCGGGUCUUGUACUCACCGCC